rnacentral:rRNA from 1 species
UACAGAGGUGGCAAGCGUUGUUCGGAUUCAUUGGGUGUAAAGGGCAGGUAGGUGGCCUAGCAAGUCCGGUGUGAAAUCCCAGAGCUCAACUCUGGAACUGCAUUGGAAACUGCUUGGCUUGAGUACCGCAGAGGUGAGGGGAAUUCCCGGUGUAAGGGUGAAAUGCGUAGAUAUCGGGAGGAACGCCGGUGGCGAAAGCGAUCGUCUGGGGUGCAUGUGACGCUGAGGCGCGAAAGCUAGGGGAGCAAACGGG